rnacentral:rRNA from 1 species
CCUACGGGAGGCAGCAGUGGGGAAUAUUGGACAAUGGGCGAAAGCCUGAUCCAGCCAUGCCGCGUGUGUGAAGAAGGCCUUCGGGUUGUAAAGCACUUUCAGUGGGGAAGAAAGCCUUGGGGCUAAUACCCUCGAGGAAGGACAUCACCCACAGAAGAAGCACCGGCUAACUCCGUGCCAGCAGCCGCGGUAAUACGGAGGGUGCGAGCGUUAAUCGGAAUUACUGGGCGUAAAGCGCGCGUAGGCGGUCUGAUAAGCCGGUUGUGAAAGCCCCGGGCUCAACCUGGGAACGGCAUCCGGAACUGUCAGGCUAGGGUGCAGGAGAGGAAGGUAGAAUUCCCGGUGUAGCGGUGAAAUGCGUAGAGAUCGGGAGGAAUACCAGUGGCGAAGGCGGCCUUCUGGACUGACACUGACGCUGAGGUGCGAAAGCGUGGGUAGCAAACAGGAUUAGAUACCCCGGUAGUC